AGGCUGCCUCUUUAGGAUUGUGGGGGGCUGUGAGCUCUCCUUUUUAGGGGGAAUCCUAACCACAUUUAAGGGCUGGAAACUGUAGGGGAUGCAUCUCUACUUGGAGACUGCCUCCUUUGGAGUGUGAGGUCCCCUGACCAUAUUUAAGGGCUAGCAGCUAUAAGGGCAGCAUCUGUACCUGGUGACUCCUUCCUUUGGAGUGUGAGACUUGUCAGUGGUAAUGGAUCCCAGGGCAUCAUUCUCAGAGCGCAUCGUGACUGACCACCUUGGGGUCCUACAGUCCCUCCUGUUUGAACAGCAGAUCUGGCUUCGUCUUUAUAGAAAGCCAAGGAUUGUCCUCUUCUGGACCACUGCAGUCAGGGUCAUCCUGGAUAUCUCCAUCCCAAUUGUCUGUAGAUGCCAUUAGUUUCCUAAUCUGUAAGACACCCAAACCCCUACCCCUCUUCCUCUCAUCUGCUGACUCUCAUUCAGCAGCUCUGCAGCCCUGGCUCCCAACAGCAUGACAAAGUGAGGCCCCUAGUCUGCUGAAUACCGGGAGUAGCCUAGAGAGGCUCUGUGAUGGAUGUGGAUUAUCCCAGCUGGAGUACUUGGUACCAUUUGUAAAGACCUAGUCCAACUACCCCACGAUGAACAGGAAUGUCCACAGCUGAAUCAGGUUAGAGCCUGACCCAGCCUUGCCUUGAAAUGGACAGUGCAUCCACCAUGUGUCUGGGCAACCUGUUCCACUGCGUCACC